rnacentral:rRNA from 1 species
UACAGAGGCUUCGAGCGUUGUUCGGAAUUACUGGGCGUAAAGGGAGUGUAGGUGGUGACGUAAGUCAGAUGUGAAAGCCCUGGGCUUAACCCGGGAAGUGCAUUUGAUACUGCGUCGCUGGAGUACGAGAGAGGAAAGUGGAAUUUUCAGUGUAGGGGUGAAAUGCGUAGAUAUCGGGAGGAACACCAGUGGCGAAGGCGACUACCUGGCCUGUUCUUGACGCUGAGGCGCGAAAGCUAGGGGAGCAAACGGG